CUUCUCGCCCUCUCACCGCCACCUCCUUGCAUCCACUCCCUCCUGCUAUUUGCAGAGCUCCCCUGACUCUCGCGCUUCAAGGUGCCAGGAGGACAAGGAACCCCCUCUUGGUCGGAUCAGGCUGAAGCUGAGACGCCAGAGAGCUGCCGGCUGAUCUGACUGUCGUUAUUUUUCGUUGUAACUUCAGGAGAGGAGGAAGGAAAAUUCUUGAGCGUCUGUGCUGACUUCUCAGCACUCUUCACCCUUCCCCCACCCCAACCCCCACCUCUGCCGGAGCGACUCUCGGGGUAAAAAAGAUUUUGAAGGGUUUGGGUGUUUUUUUGUCCUAAGUGACACAAAGAAAUGGGCGGGGAGGGGGGGACGCGUCAAAAUAGUUUUUAGACACUCAAGUGGAUGGCUGGACACUUUUUUCUUCUAUAUUCAUACUUGUCGUUCCUAAAGAAUAAGGAUUUUUUUAAGGACUGGAAAACUCAUCUUGGUGAUUAAAAUAAGUUGCAAAAACCCUUCCUAGGGAAAAACCCCAGCAGUUUUCCAUCAAUUUCAAUCUUUUAUUAAAUCUAUUCUGCAUCUUAAACUAAGUAAUGUCUUAACUUUCCUCCCACCAUUCCCGGGGGAAAAAAAGUAAAAAUACAAAAUAAAAUAUGCAAAAUGC